rnacentral:rRNA from 1 species
AUGGCAAUGGCCACAGCAAGGCUAAUCCACCCAUGCAUGGUGGUGUCCAAGAGCCCAAGAACGCCACCAGCACCCUUCCUCCUCCACACCAAUAAGCCGCUGACCACCGCACUGAGCUCAUCGUUUCACUUCACGCUCCACUCCGUCGACGUCUCCAAGGACGACAAGCCGCUGGACGCGGCGCUCGAGACCAAACAAGAAGAUGCAACCGCCGCCGCCGCCGGCGACCUGGCGACGCCACUGCCGGGGGAGUUGGACGCGGAGGAGGACAGGCCGAAGCUUGACCCCCGCCGGUUUGAGGAGCAGUUCGCGGUGCUGAACACGGGGGUGCACGAGUGCCGGUCCUGCGGCUACCUGUACGACCAGGCGAAGGGAGACCCGUCCUACCCGGUGCCCUCGGGGCUGCCGUUCAACAAGCUGCCGGACGACUGGCGGUGCCCGACGUGCGGCGCGGCGCAGUCCUUCUUCGACAGCAAGAGCGUCGAGAUCGCCGGGUUCGCGCAGAACCAGCAGUUCGGGCUCGGCGGCAACUCGCUCACAUCUGGCCAGAAGACGCUACUCAUCUACGGAAGCCUCCUUGUCGGCUUCGCCUUCUUCCUCUCCGGCUACUUCUUGCAAUGA